CCAGGAAUCCAAAGGAACUUUAAAUAGCUGUAUAAAAAAAGGGAAUUCAUGCAGGGAAGGGUCAUAACCAAUGAGACUGGUAGGGUGAAAGGCAAGGAGACAACCAGUAGAGGGAGCUAGAGCCAAUGACAAGGGGAACCAGCUAUUUUUGUCCCCACCCUCCUUCCUAUUGGCCCAUACCAGGGCAACAGUGAAGAGAAGGAAGUUAAGAGUCGGGUGCUACCCUCUGGACUGGUUGUAAGUUGGUGGCUGACUGGGGGAGGGGGAGCAGUGCUCCAGUUACCCUAAUGGACCAGUCUCCAGCGGCCAUAACAGAGUGGAUGCUUUGCAGGCAGAAUGUCGCUGAUCCAGUCCGCAGCGUCUUCAGGUAGAUGUCUAUCUGAAACACUGUGCAGGCAGUAACUGGACAGUAGAUGGUCUGGCUUCUUAGAAGGCAGCUUUUUUACACCGCAGAUGUUUCUCAGCCUUGCUACACACACAGAAACACCUUCUUCACACAACACCAUUAAAGAUACAGAGGUGUCCGUCUGGUCAUCCAAUUGCUGCCUCUUCUAAUCCUGGGACUAGAUUCUAUUCCCACCACAACCUUGGGCGCCCUCAGCCCACGCACCCCUGUUUUCUGCUUGUUUUCUGCUGUUAUUUCAGCAGGCGUACCCCUCCCCUCUCUCUGAGAACCCUGGAGACUGGAGUUCUGGCUCCCAGCCCAUCCUGCUAGAUCCUCUGUGUCCUAAUUACUUUGCUGUGUUUUAAGUCCGUGCCGGCUGUGGUGCAAGUGGUUUGAUUCUCUGUGUUGCUCUUAAUGAAAGGGACACACAAAAAAUCUCCUUAUUGCCAGCUGGGAGUUAAUCCCAAGAGACACAGGGUCCCAAAUAGAAAGACUGUGAACCCGGGGCAGGGUGACACAGCAGGAUGGGCGUGCAAGAUGGGGCCACACAGGGCACAAAGGCGCACAGGAAUUGUACGUGCAAAGGAGGAAAUAGAAUGUGCUGGGCAGACUGAAAUUCUCUUUCGCUCUUCCCCUUUCCACGGGAUCGCCAUAUCUCCUGCCUGUCAAUUCACUAAUCUACACCUCUUUCUCUCUCAUAUAUAGACACCUGUAACAUAAAGCAUUUCUUUGUAUUGGCCUGUCCACUGGUCAGUCUUUCUCUACCUUUCCACACCUUCCUCUCCACACCCACAAUCCUUCCGUGCCAAUAGAUAUUUUCUGUGGAGUGAAAUAUGACAGUGAAAAGCAAAUUAAUGAAAAGCUACAACUAUGAACUUUUUUUGCAUUUCUUUGGUACCAUCUGCCCACAAUAUUUGUUUUGUUUGUUUACAUACAUUAAUACACACAUACAAGUGCUGAAGAUCCAGAUUUUGUUGUGGUGGUGGGGGAAUAUUUCACUUCUGAAAUAAUGAUCUCUCUCUCUCUCUCUCUCUCUCUCUCUCUGUGUGUGUGUGUGUGUGUGUGUGUGUGUGACAUCGAUCAAUCCACCCAUUAAUGUGCACGUCUUCCACUGUUGAUCGAUCCGUGCCCCAUUAUCCCCCCUCCAUCUCCAUACAAUUUGCCUUCCUGUUGGCGUCCGUUCCCCUCUCUCCCCUCCAACAAGCCCUUGUCAGCCUUCCAGCCUCUUUGUCUCUCUCUGCCUCCGUGUCCACUCCAUCCCCUCUGACCCCAGCUGCUCCUUCAUCUCCGCAUCCAAUUUCUCAUCCUCUCCUCCUGGCAGCCGGGCGAUUGCAGAAAGGGAAGACCAAAGCGGAGAUGCUCCCCCUCCCUCCCCCCUGCC
rnacentral:lncRNA from 1 species